rnacentral:rRNA from 1 species
AUGAGGAGUAGCGUGGUGGAGUAUCACCGGAGCGUGACCAGCAAAGGCUACUGGAGCUUGAUCUACAGCGGCGACCACGACAUGACCGUGCCUUUCAUUGGCACCCAGGCGUGGAUCCGCUCUCUGGGCUUCGGCGUCGUGGAUGAGUGGAGGCCCUGGCAUGUCAACGGCCAAGUUGCUGGGUUUACAACGUUGUAUGCAAAUAACCUCACUUUUGCAACAGUCAAGGGUGGUGGUCACACUGCUCCAGAGUACAUGCCCAAGGAAUGCUUGGCCAUGGUCGAUAGAUGGCUCUCCGGCCGGCCUCUCUAA